rnacentral:rRNA from 1 species
AACGAACGCUGGCGGCAUGCCUAACACAUGCAAGUCGAACGGGAUCCUGGCUUCGGUCAGGUGAGAGUGGCGGACGGGUGAGUAACGCGUGGGAACCUGCCCAGUGGUGGGGGAUAACUGCGGGAAACUGCAGCUAAUACCGCAUGAGCCCGAGAGGGGAAAGAUUUAUCGCCAUUGGAGGGGCCCGCGUUCGAUUAGGUAGUUGGUGAGGUAACGGCUCACCAAGCCGACGAUCGAUAGCUGGUCUGAGAGGAUGAUCAGCCACACUGGGACUGAGAUACGGCCCAGACUCCUACGGGAGGCAGCAGUGGGGAAUAUUGGACAAUGGGGGCAACCCUGAUCCAGCAAUGCCGCGUGAGUGAUGAAGGCCUUAGGGUUGUAAAGCUCUUUUGCCAGGGAAGAUGAUGACUGUACCUGGAGAAUAAGCCCCGGCUAACUUCGUGCCAGCAGCCGCGGUAAU